GCCUCCGUAGCUCAGUUGGCCAGAGCGCCCGUCUUGUAAACGGGAGGUCACCGGUCCGACUCCGGUCGGGGGCU
rnacentral:tRNA from 1 species